rnacentral:rRNA from 1 species
UUAGUAGCGGCGAGCGAACAGGGAGAAGCCCAGCACUGAAUCGCGCGGCCCACCGGGACGCUGCGAAAUGUAGUGUUUGGGAGGAUCCACUAUUCCGUGGUUUGGUAAUGCGUCCAAGUCCUUCUUGAACGGGGCCACUUACCCAUAGAGGGUGCCAGGCCCGUAGUGACCGUUGCCGGCUGCGGAAGGAUCUCUCCUUAGAGUCGGGUUGCUUGAGAGUGCAGCCCUAAGUGGGUGGUAAACUCCAUCUAAGGCUAAAUAUUACCACGAGACCGAUAGCGAACAAGUACCGUGAGGGAAAGUUGAAAAGAACUUUGAAGAGAGAGUUCAAUAGUACGUGAAACCGUUUAAGGGUAAACCUGAGAAACCCGAAAGUUCGAACGAGGAGAUUCAGUGUGUCUCGGUGAGCGCGAGUGCCGUUCAGUAGACAGAGGUCGUUCGCGGCCGCUGCUCUUUACGUUGCGCCGCUGUUUGUCGAACGCAUGCACUUCUCCUCCAGUAGGACGUCGCAACCCGUUGGGUGUCGGUCUGAGGCUUGCAGUGGAGCCCGUUCAUCGGUUUCGGCCGUUUGUUCGGACCUGUGAUGUCCCGGCCGACUGCUCGACGGUAGAUAUAGGCGCAGGGCCGCGACUAGUUCGCGUUCGGCCCGAUGCAAGCACAGCCGGUUACCCGACUGUCGGACUUUGUGCCGAUCUCGGGGCCGGUUGGUUGUUGGUGUCGGUGUUCCCGGACAGACUCUGCACACGCCUGUUAGCGGCGCUAUAGCUUUGGGUACUUUCAGGACCCGUCUUGAAACACGGACCAAGGAGUCUAGCAUGUUCGCGAGUCAUUGGGACUAUCGAAUCCUAAAGGCGAAAUGAAAGUAAAGGCAGAGCCUGGCUCGGCCUAGGGAAGAUGGGUGACUUAAUGUCGCCUCGCACUCCCGGGGCGUCUCGUUCUCAUUGCGAGAAGAGGCGCACCUAGAGCGAACACGCUGGUACCCGAAAGAUGGUGAACUAUGCCUGGUCAGGAC